UAAGAGGAGGGGGAGGGCGCGGAGCCCUGCGGGCGGCCGGAGGACCGGCGGGCGGUGACUGCGACCACCGCUCUCGGGCAGCGGACGCGCUUUGGAAGACAAGUGGAAAACUACGAUUAAAAAAACAUAGCCAUGAAAAUAAGUGAGAUUAAAACCUGCCGGCUUCACUUCCUGGAGGCUUUUUGUUGGGUCUUGAAACUAGAAGUCUUUGCGGGUCAUCCUUGCGACUUCCCUGGUGGUGCAGUGGUUAAGGAUCCGCCUGCCAAUGCAGGAGACACGGGUUCGAGCCCUGGUCCGGGAAGAUCCCACAUGCCGCGGAGCAACUAAGCCCGCGAGCCACAACUACUGAGCCCUCGCGCCACAACUACUGAAGCCCAGGCACCUAGAGCCUGUGGCUCUGCAACCAGAGAAGCUACCACAGUGAGAAGCCCCGGCACCGCAACGAAGAGUAGCCCCCGCUCACCGCAACUACAGAAAGCCCGCGCUCAGCAAUGAAGACCCAACGCAGCCAAAAAUAAAUAAAUUUUUAAAAAUAAAUUAAAAAAAAAAAUCAGGAUAUUUCACAGGGAAAGCUGGACUUUUGGCUUCUUUGGCUGCGAGUUUUCUGCCCCAGACAAAUCACUUCAUCUGGUGUUUGGCCUUUUUUAUAAGGAUUAUUAAAGUCAUAGGUGGUUCAGACAUUUUCUGUCUAGACCUAAUGCAUGUAUAAUUAAAACCUCAAAUCUUGAUUUCCAGAAAUUCAUCUUGACAGAUUCAACCAAUCAGAAACUGAGUCUGCGUACAUUCCCUAAAGACAGGCGCUACGGAAUGUCCGGAUUCCCUCCAUUCUGCAUUUGCCCAAGAUGCAGCAAGACAUAGGGAGAAAUACAAGUCCAAUUGUGCCAUAAAAAUGAGAGAGGAUUUCAGUAUUCCAAGAAUUCUACAAAGUGAGUUACACCUGAAAAUUCAGCGCACUUACCUCGGGAGAGCAGGUUUUCUCCAUCCGAAGACUCCCUGACCCCAGCACCUCCGGCCCCCAGGUGGGGCUCUGGCUGCAGCCUCCAGGCCACUGCCCGGGUGGGACGGGGCCUGCGACACCAGCCAGGCUCCAGCCACCCUGCUAGGACCCCUGGGCCUGGGAAGGGGCCGGAAGUCCCCUCCAGCACCAGGCAGGGGCUGGGGGGAAGCGACCCCCUGUCCCCGUGGAAGGCUGGGUCCCAGCAGCCCCCUGCUACCAGCUGCGCCCCCAUCAAACGUGCGCCCACCUUCGAGAAGGGAACAUGUGGGCUCCUAGACACUCAUCCGGGCAGCGCUGGGUCUGUUCUGUUGAUCGCUGGGUCUCCAGUGCCAAGCAGGGUGCCUGGCUCCUUUGCAAGUGAAUGAACGGACCCUGAAGGAGAAGCUGCCUCCUAAUCAGUCAAGGAGCUGGAUUUCUCAGCUUUCCAUUCUUAGGCGGUGUUGACAUCUACCUGUGGAGACAGACUGGAUUUAUCUGGGGGGUAAGGAAAUUCAUUCUCCCCGGCUUUAUAUAUUUUCCAACCCACAGUGUCGGAGCGGCUAAAUAUUAGUGGUCUUUAGUUUCUUUAUGUGAUGUAUACCACUUGUCAUUGUUUAAUGUAAUCUUAUGUCAUUUAAAGGUUAAAUUAUAGGGUGACUAGAAAGCGACAAUAAUAUAAUCUUAAGCACAAUCAUUUAGAGGAAGAUUUCCCCCUAAAACUUGGUUAAAAUAAAUUUGAGAAAGACGCAGUUCAAUUCAUUCAACAAAUUUGACUUUGUGACAGAUCCAACGUAGUCUGUUGUAUUUAAUAAGAAUUCAGCCCGUAAAGGGAGAUUUAAUGACAUUAAUGAGAUUAGCUUUAUGUAUUAAUGGAACUGAAGGAGUCAACUCUAAAAGCAAAUGUUCUCUAAACCUAAAUAUUUUAUACUCAAGAAAAUCCGCUGGGGACUUCCCUGGUGGCGCAGUGGUUAAGAAUCCGCCUGCCAAUGCAGGGGACAGGGCUUUGACCCCUGGUCUGGGAAGAUCCCACAUGCCGCGGAGCAACUAAGCCGGUGAGCCACAACUACUGGGCCCCUGCGCCACAACUGCUGAAGCCCGCAUGCCUAGAGCCCGUGCUCCACAACAGGAGAAGCCACCGCAACGAGAAGUCUGCGCACCACAACGAAGAGUAGCCCCCGCUCGCCGCAACUAGAAAAAGCCCGCACGCAGUAACGAAGACCCAACGCAGCCAAAAGCAAACAAAUAAAUAAUUAAUUUUAAAAAAAAUUGAAAGACUUCUUUGUACUGGGUGAAAACUUAGAUUUCAAACCUAAUUUUGAUCAGCUUUAUCACUAAUACAUUUUGCUAGUUUAUUCCUUAAAAAUCUUUCUCAGAGUCUCUCCUCUUAACUCUCUGAAGUGAUACCAGAUGGGUUUUAUGUUUUUAGCUAAAAUUGGAUCCUGGGAAAGAAUCUAGAGUAGAUGAUAGGAAGAUGACUGUCACCUGACAAUUUCCAUUACCUACCUAACUGCCUUCCUCCCUGGAAUUAAAGAGACCAGAAACUUUAUGGAGACCCACAUUCCCAAACCCUUGGGAGGAAGAAUAACAGUUUUAGGAAUUCGUGUUUCCGAAAAUUAGUAAUAGCUACUCCUUGUAAGUCUAUUGCAGUGAAAUCACAACCAGCUGCCUAUCUCUAGAAAAAAAGGUUCCAGAUUUCCUUUCCCUGGAAUGUGGCUCCAGAGAGGCUGUUCCAUUUCAAAGGAGGUGCUUUGAUUGGGUGCACAGUAGGUCCCUCAAUAAGGCAAUGUCAACCGUUGUAAACAAAGUUCCCUAGAACAGGUCCUCCAUACCCAGUUACCUGGGAGCUCCUGCUCAAGCUUUGGGUCAGUUACCCUGCCAUCCAUGCUAGCUGCCAUCCUUGGCCCAAGUGUUGUCCACUAACUUGCCAAAGCGUGACUGGAACAUCAUCAAACUCCCAAACAGUAUCCCAGGCUCCUGGGUAAGUCCACUUAUUUAUCAUAUGCUUUACUCUUGGUCUACAGAUUUAUUUAUUUAUUUAUUUAUUUAUUUAUUUAUGUAUUUUUGUGGUAUGCGGGCCUCUCACUGUUGUGGCCUCUCCCGUUGCGCGGAGCACAGGCUCCGGACGCGCAGGCUCAGUGGCCGUGGCUCACGGGCCCAGCCGCUCCGCGGCAUGUGGGAUCUUCCCGGACCGGGGCACGAACCCCCAUCCCCUGCAUCGACAGGCGGACUCUCAACCACUGCGCCACCAGGGAAGCCCUACAGAUUUAAAUAAAAAGAAGUAAAGCAUGUAUUAAACUCUGACAUCAGCAUUUAUUAAUUUUUUGGGUCUUCCUUUCAUCCUAUUUGAUGGUGGAGACAUGAAAGCUAGUAAAGAUAUAUUUUGAGGUUAACUUCUGUUUGCACGA